CCUACGGGAGGCAGCAGUGAGGAAUAUUGGUCAAUGGACGAGAGUCUGAACCAGCCAAGUAGCGUGAAGGAUGACUGCCCUAUGGGUUGUAAACUUCUUUUAUGUGGGAAUAAAAUGUUCCACGUGUGGGAUUUUGUAUGUACCAUAUGAAUAAGGAUCGGCUAACUCCGUGCCAGCAGCCGCGGUAAUACGGAGGAUCCGAGCGUUAUCCGGAUUUAUUGGGUUUAAAGGGAGCGUAGGUGGAUUGUUAAGUCAGUUGUGAAAGUUUGCGGCUCAACCGUAAAAUUGCAGUUGAUACUGGCAGUCUUGAGUACAGUAGAGGUGGGCGGAAUUCGUGGUGUAGCGGUGAAAUGCUUAGAUAUCACGAAGAACUCCGAUUGCGAAGGCAGUUCACUGGACUGCAACUGACACUGAGGCUCGAAAGUGUGGGUAUCAAACAGGAUUAGAUACCCCAGUAGUC
rnacentral:rRNA from 1 species